rnacentral:lncRNA from 1 species
UCUCGGUCAACUAAGCCAGGAGCAAGGGUAUCUUGUGACCAAAAACCGGAGCAGCCAAGAGCUACCACUUACAGGGCUUGUUUUCAGGGAACUUCUACCUACUCAUGAAGUUCUGGGAUGGAUGAUGUCUAUUCAAAGGGUGGUGGUUGCAUAUGCCCACGGAGUUAUUGAGUGUGGAGCCUGUGAGUGCUGAGGACUCGGCUGUGUCCUGUCCCUGGAGAGCUCCCUCUUCCUGACCCUGCCCUCGAUGACGGCUGCUCGAAGAUGGACAGUGAUGGCACAGGCCUGGCCCUCUCCUUGCCUCCAGCUGGCAUCAUCGAGUAGCUAUGGCUCGGGAGUUGUGGUCCCGCUGCUCACCCAGCAGGAGCAGACCUGCUCACACCACGGUGCAUCUCCAGGAACUCCUGUGGCCUUCUUCUCCUGGUUCGAUAAGCUGGACUACCUCCGUAAGCUUUGCUGUCUCUUGGGCCAGCCACACAGCUGCCAGUGACAUGCAGAGACCACUGGAGACCUUAAGAUGUGGACUGCUGGGCACCAAUAUUACCCAUCUGUCCUACAGACUUCACACUGCCCACCUGCAGAACGUGGGCGUGGGCAGCAACAGCCUGCUCCACGUGAUGCCUGCGCCCUGGAGACUGCUGGGUGGGGGUGGUCUUGAGCUCCUGCUGCCACCUGAGUUCCUGCUGCCAGCCCUGUGCUGCUGCCCCCACCCCGGGGUGGUCAUCUCCCACGACCUCCUAAACUGCCCCUCCUACAGAUAAGACGGUGUGUGGCAGUGCUCGAGCUGAAGAAUGUUGAAGUAUCCUAUCCUUGUUGAAUGCUCUGGAUAUGUGGAUGACCACCCUGGAUUAACGCUGCUUUAGAAGCCAAACCAUGGCUAAGCUAAGCUGGACAGCAUUGGAUCAGGUGGGGGAGGGGAGACCCACAAACUGCGUAGCGCUGAGGGCUGAAAGCCGUGCAGAGCUCCACCGUGCAAUAGUGCGCGCACAGCAGCCAGCGGAAGUGCCGUGGUUCAGUGUCCUUACUUGCACGUGUCUGGGUAGCUUCUAGUCGCUGGCCGAGACUCCGGCUCCUUGUUGCAGGAGGUGUUCUGGCACGAUGGGAGAGGCAGGGCCCAGCUGAUCUGACUUGUAAAGAAUAUUUUAACUUUCAAAAUAAAGGAUGAUCUCAAGCUCGUCUCUGUCUUACA